AUUGAACGCUGGCGGCAUGCCUUACACAUGCAAGUCGAACGGUAACAGGUCUUCGGAUGCUGACGAGUGGCGAACGGGUGAGUAAUACAUCGGAACGUGCCUAGUAGUGGGGGAUAACUACUCGAAAGAGUGGCUAAUACCGCAUGAGAUCUACGGAUGAAAGCAGGGGAUCGCAAGACCUUGUGCUACUAGAGCGGCCGAUGGCAGAUUAGGUAGUUGGUGGGAUAAAAGCUUACCAAGCCGACGAUCUGUAGCUGGUCUGAGAGGACGAUCAGCCACACUGGGACUGAGACACGGCCCAGACUCCUACGGGAGGCAGCAGUGGGGAAUUUUGGACAAUGGGCGAAAGCCUGAUCCAGCAAUGCCGCGUGCAGGAUGAAGGCCUUCGGGUUGUAAACUGCUUUUGUACGGAACGAAAAGCCCCGGGUUAAUACCCCGGGGUCAUGACGGUAUCGUAAGAAUAAGCACCGGCUAACUACGUGCCAGCAGCCGCAGUAA
rnacentral:rRNA from 1 species